GCCCGUCUGGCGGAACGGCAGACGCGCCGGCUUCAGAUGUCGGUGCCCGUAAGGGCGUCCGGGUUCAAGUCCCGGGGUGGGCA
rnacentral:tRNA from 1 species